rnacentral:rRNA from 1 species
GUUAGUUUUUAAGAGCGUUCGGUGGAUGCCUUGGUAUCAGGGGCCGAUGAAGGACGUGGUGGACUGCGAUAAGCCUCGGGGAGCUGUCUGACAGGCUUUGAUCCGAGGGUUUCCGAAUAGGGGAACCUAGCAAGAGUAAUGUCUUGUUACCUGCGCCUGAAUGUAUAGGGCGCAAGGGGGUGUACGCGGGGAAGUGAAACAUCUUAGUACCCGCAGGAAAAGAUAUUCCGUGAGUAGUGGCGAGCGAAAGCGGAUUAGGUGAAACCGUGUUAGUGUGAUAGACGCCAGUUGUUGCUGAUGCGGGGUUGUGGGGCGUGUUUGUUACAUUCUCUGGCGGGGGUGUGCGUAGUUAUAAAUGUUUGGUGUAGUUGAAUAGUCUGGGAAGGCUAAGCGUAGACGGUGAUACUCCGGUAGGCGAAACAUCAGGCACUGCGUUGGACAUGUUCCCAAGUAGCACGGGGCUCGUGGAAUCUUGUGUGAAUUUGCUAAGACCACUUAGCUGCCUAAAUACUUCCUGGUAACCGAUAGCGGAUAAGUACCGUGAGGGAAUGGUGAAAAGUACCCCGGGAGGGGAGUGAAAUAGUACCUGAAACCGGGCGCUUACAAGCCGUCAAAGCCCUUUUAGGGGGUGAUGGCGUGCCUAUUGAAGAAUGAGCCUGCGAGUUAGUGGCGUGUCGCGAGGUUAACCCGUGUGGGGGAUCCGUAGCGAAAGCGAGUCUGAAAGGGCGGUUAGUGGCACGUUCUAGACCCGAAGCGGGGUGAUCUACCCAUGGCCAGGUUGAAGCACGUGUAAGAGCGUGUGGAGGACCGAACCCACUUCAGUUGAAAAUGGAGGGGAUGAGCUGUGGGUAGGGGUGAAAGGCCAAUCAAACUCCGUGAUAGCUGGUUCUCCCCGAAAUGCAUUUAGGUGCAGCGUUGCGUGGUUCCGGGCGGGGGUAGAGCUACUGGAUGGCUGAUGGGCCUUACAGGGUUACUGACGUCAACCAAACUCCGAAUACCGUCCGGGUAUAGCGUGGCAGUGAGACAGUGGGGGAUAAGCUCCGUUGUCGAGAGGGAAACAGCCCAGAUCGCCGGCUAAGGCCCCUAAGCGUGUGCUAAGUGGGAAAGGAUGUGCGGUCGCGUUGACAACCAGGAGGUUGGCUUAGAAGCAGCCAUCCUUGAAAGAGUGCGUAAUAGCUCACUGGUCAAGUGAUCGUGCGCCGACAAUGUAGCGGGGCUCAAGCACACCGCCGAAGCCGCGGAUCCUCAACAUACACCCUGUCGCUUUGCGGCCAGGGGUUGGGGGUGGUAGGGGAGCGUUGUGUACUGGGUGAAGCGGCUAAGUGAUUAUGUCGUGGACGGUACGCAAGUGAGAAUGCAGGCAUGAGUAGCGAUACUAGGGUGAGAAACCCUAGCGCCGAAUGACCAAGGGUUCCAGGGCUAGGCUAGUCCGCCCUGGGUGAGUCGGGUCCUAAGGCGAGGCCGACAGGCGUAGUCGAUGGGUAACCGGUUGAUAUUCCGGUACCGGCUAGUGACCGUCAAGUGUUGACUGAAAGGUACUAACCCACGCCAGGAACAUGGCUGAAUGCCUUUUGGGUGUUUGGUUGUGGUUUUGGUUUGGGGACAGGCUUUCUUGGUAGGCAAGCGUGUGGAGUGACGCACAGUGGAAGCCUUCGCGAGGUGAUGGAAUACCUCGUUUAACCGUGUAGCUUACUGCCUAGGUAAAUCCGGGUGGUUUUAUGUGAGGCGGGAUGAUGACCAUCUUUUGGGUGGGAAGUAGGGGUGAUCCUGUGGUGCCGAGAAAAGCUUCGACGCGAGGUGGCUGGCCGCCCGUACCCUAAACCGACACAGGUGGUCGGGCAGAGUAUGCCUAGGCGCACGAGAUAAUCAUGGUUAAGGAACUCGGCAAAAUGCCCCCGUAACUUCGGGAGAAGGGGGGCCUGAUACUUGAUGAAACCAUUUUUUGUGGCUUUCUAGGGUUGAGGGUCGCAGAGACCAGGGAGAAGCGACUGUUUACUAAAAACACAGGUGCGUGCGAAGCCGUAAGGCGAUGUAUACGUACUGACGCCUGCCCGGUGCUGGAAGGUUAAGAGGAACCGUCAAUCAUUUGUUUGGUGAAGCGGUGAAUUUAAGCCCCAGUAAACGGCGGUGGUAACUAUAACCAUCCUAAGGUAGCGAAAUUCCUUGUCGGGUAAGUUCCGACCUGCACGAA